CCUACGGGAGGCCGCAGUGGGGAAUAUUGGACAAUGGGGGGAACACUGAUCCAGCGACGCAGCGUGAGUGAAGAAGUCUUUCGGUAUGUAAAGCUCUAUCAGCAGGGAAGAAAAAAAUGACGGUACCUGACUAAUAAGCCCCAGCUAACUACGUGCAAGCAGCCGCGGUAAUACGUAGGGGGCAAGCGUUAUCCGGAUUUACUGGGUGUAAAGGGAGCGUAGACGGCGAUGCAAGUCUGAAGUGAAAGGCGGGGGCCCAACCCCCGGACUGCUUUGGAAACUGUAUGGCUUGAGUGCAGGUGAGGUAAGUGGAAGUCCUAGUGUAGCGGUGAAAUGCGUAGAUAUUAGGAGGAACACCAGUGGCGAAGGCGGCUUACUGGACUGUAACUGACGUUGAGGCUCGAAAGCGUGGGGAGCAAACAGGAUUAGAUACCCUAGUAGUC
rnacentral:rRNA from 1 species